AACGCACAUUGCGCCCUUUGGUAUUCCUUAGGGCAUGCCUGUUCGAGCGUCAUCUAAAACCCUCAAGCACUGCUUGGUGUUGGGCGCCUUGUCCCGCCCCCCUCCGGGGGCGCGGACUCGCCUCAAAAGCAUUGGCGGCCCGCGUGAUCGGCUUCGAGCGCAGCAGACCCGCGCCUCGCAAGACCCCCCCGCGCGGGCGUCCAAGAAGACACACCCCCCAAGUUUGACCUCGGAUCAGGUAGGGAUACCCGCUGAACUUAA
rnacentral:misc_RNA from 1 species